rnacentral:rRNA from 14 species
ACCCGCUGAACUUAAGCAUAUCACUAAGCGGAGGAAAAGAAACUAACCAGGAUUGCCUCAGUAACUGCGAGUGAACCGGCACCAGCCCAGCCUGUGAAUCGCGCAAGCGACUUGUGGAGUGGAGACUUGUCCCUGACCCUGCUGGUGUGAGUGUAACUUGGUUGGAAUGCCAGGCCGCAGAGGGUGCAAGCCCCGUGCCGCUCACGCUGCAGACAAGGGAGAGUUCGAAGAGUCGGGUAGUUCGGGACUGCUGCCCUAAGUGGGAGAUAGACUUCUUCCAAGGCUAAAUAACGACGAGAGACCGAUAGCGAACAAGUACUGUGAAGGAAAGAUGCAAAGCACUUUGAAAAGAGAGUUAAAAGACUUGAAAUCGCUGAGGAGGAAGCAGUGGGACGUCGGCUCGACUGAGUGGAAACUUGGCUAAGGCCCUGUGGGAGCUCAGUCAUAGCAACACCUGCGAGGUCGGAGCUGCGAGGAACUAGUUUGGUCCUCUCCAGGCCGAGAUCAACGCAAGUGUUGUGCGGCGUCUCACUGGCCCGUCUUGAAACACGGACCAAGGAGUCUAACACGUAUGCGAGUAGUAAGGUGGCAAACCUUGGAUGCGCAAUGAAAGUAAAUGUAGGUGGGAUCCGCAAGGUGCACCAUCGACCGACCAGGAUCUUUUUGUGAAAGGUUUGAGUAAGAGCAUAUUUGUUGGGACCCGAAAGAUGGUGAACUAUGACUGAACAGAAUGAAUUCAGAGGAAACUCUGAUGGAGGUUCGUAUC